AUUGAACGCUGGCGGCAGGCCUAACACAUGCAAGUCGAGCGGUAGCACAGAGAGCUUGCUCUCGGGUGACGAGCGGCGGACGGGUGAGUAAUGUCUGGGAAACUGCCUGAUGGAGGGGGAUAACUACUGGAAACGGUAGCUAAUACCGCAUAAUGUCGCAAGACCAAAGUGGGGGACCUUCGGGCCUCAUGCCAUCAGAUGUGCCCAGAUGGGAUUAGCUAGUAGGUGGGGUAACGGCUCACCUAGGCGACGAUCCCUAGCUGGUCUGAGAGGAUGACCAGCCACACUGGAACUGAGACACGGUCCAGACUCCUACGGGAGGCAGCAGUGGGGAAUAUUGCACAAUGGGCGCAAGCCUGAUGCAGCCAUGCCGCGUGUGUGAAGAAGGCCUUCGGGUUGUAAAGCACUUUCAGCGGGGAGGAAGGCGUUAAGGUUAAUAACCUUGGCGAUUGACGUUACCCGCAGAAGAAGCACCGGCUAACUCCGUGCCAGCAGCCGCGGUAAUACGGAGGGUGCAAGCGUUAAUCGGAAUUACUGGGCGUAAAGCGCACGCAGGCGGUCUGUCAAGUCGGAUGUGAAAUCCCCGGGCUCAACCUGGGAACUGCAUUCGAAACUGGCAGGCUAGAGUCUUGUAGAGGGGGGUAGAAUUCCAGGUGUAGCGGUGAAAUGCGUAGAGAUCUGGAGGAAUACCGGUGGCGAAGGCGGCCCCCUGGACAAAGACUGACGCUCAGGUGCGAAAGCGUGGGGAGCAAACAGGAUUAGAUACCCUGGUAGUCCACGCCGUAAACGAUGUCGAUUUGGAGGUUGUGCCCUUGAGGCGUGGCUUCCGGAGCUAACGCGUUAAAUCGACCGCCUGGGGAGUACGGCCGCAAGGUUAAAACUCAAAUGAAUUGACGGGGGCCCGCACAAGCGGUGGAGCAUGUGGUUUAAUUCGAUGCAACGCGAAGAACCUUACCUGGUCUUGACAUCCACAGAACUUUCCAGAGAUGGAUUGGUGCCUUCGGGAACUGUGAGACAGGUGCUGCAUGGCUGUCGUCAGCUCGUGUUGUGAAAUGUUGGGUUAAGUCCCGCAACGAGCGCAACCCUUAUCCCUUGUUGCCAGCGGUCCGGCCGGGAACUCAAAGGAGACUGCCAGUGAUAAACUGGAGGAAGGUGGGGAUGACGUCAAGUCAUCAUGGCCCUUACGACCAGGGCUACACACGUGCUACAAUGGCAUAUACAAAGAGAAGCGACCUCGCGAGAGCAAGCGGACCUCAUAAAGUAUGUCGUAGUCCGGAUUGGAGUCUGCAACUCGACUCCAUGAAGUCGGAAUCGCUAGUAAUCGUAGAUCAGAAUGCUACGGUGAAUACGUUCCCGGGCCU
rnacentral:rRNA from 1 species